AGACAGCAGCCGCCGCGGUAAUACAGAGGGUGCAAGCGUUAAUCGGAAUUACUGGGCGUAAAGCGCGCGUAGGUGGUUUGUUAAGUUGGAUGUGAAAUCCCCGGGCUCAACCUGGGAACUGCAUCCAAAACUGGCAAGCUAGAGUAUGGUAGAGGGUGGUGGAAUUUCCUGUGUAGCGGUGAAAUGCGUAGAUAUAGGAAGGAACACCAGUGGCGAAGGCGACCACCUGGACUGAUACUGACACUGAGGUGCGAAAGCGUGGGGAGCAAACAGGAUUAGAUACCCGCGUAGUCCCUGUCUCUUAUAC
rnacentral:rRNA from 1 species